GUGGGCAACCUGCCCUACAGACUGGGAUAACUCCGGGAAACCGGAGCUAAUACCGGGUAAUACAUAGCAUCGCAUGAUGCAACGUUGAAAGUUGGCCUUUGGCUAACACUGUAGGAUGGGCCCGCGGCGCAUUAGCUAGUUGGUAAGGUAACGGCUUACCAAGGCCACGAUGCGUAGCCGACCUGAGAGGGUGAUCGGCCACACUGGGACUGAGACACGGCCCAGACUCCUACGGGAGGCAGCAGUAGGGAAUCUUCCGCAAUGGACGAAAGUCUGACGGAGCAACGCCGCGUGAGUGACGAAGGCCUUCGGGUCGUAAAGCUCUGUUGUUAGGGAAGAACAAGUACCGUUCGAACAGGGCGGUACCUUGACGGUACCUAACCAGAAAGCCACGGCUAACUACGUGCCAGCAGCCGCGGUAAUACGUAGGUGGCAAGCGUUGUCCGGAAUUAUUGGGCGUAAAGCGCGCGCAGGCGGUCUCUUAAGUCUGAUGUGAAAGCCCACGGCUCAACCGUGGAGGGCCAUUGGAAACUGGGGGACUUGAGUGCAGAAGAG
rnacentral:rRNA from 2 species